UACGGAGGGUGCAAGCGUUGCUCGGAUUUAUUGGGCGUAAAGGGUAGGUAGGUGGUCUCAUUUGUCUGGGGUGAAAGCCUCGAGCUUAACUCGAGAAGUGCCCCAGAAACGGUGAGACUAGAGUUCUGGAGAGGGUCGUGGAAUUCCCGGUGUAGCGGUGAAAUGCGUAGAGAUCGGGAGGAACACCAGAGGCGAAGGCGGCGACCUGGACAGGUACUGACACUGAACUACGAAAGCGUGGGGAGCAAACAGG
rnacentral:rRNA from 1 species